CAUUACUCCCAAUGUUGCUUUCCAAUCACAACUCAGCUAUUUUUUCAAAAUAAUAACUAUUUUUUCUCUCUUUUCUCUCUCUUCCCUUUCACGGUUUCUAUUUCUCAAAGUUCUUAUGAUUUCUCUCAAAUCCAUAACCCUAAACCCUCUUCUUUCGUCUCAUUCUCUUUCACCACAACCGCCGCCACUGUCAUGUCUCUUUAUUGUCAUCAACGCAACAAAAAGUUUCAACGAUUCACAUUAUAAGGUUUUCACAUAUAUGGAUUUUUUCGUUGUUAAGGAUGGUGAUGAAUAGAGUAGUGAUGAAGAGGGCCCCUGGUUUUUCGUUAAACUUGCAGCUGUUCUUCUUAGAUCUGGAUUUUUGCUGUUGAUAUUUAGCGAUGAAGAUUGAAUAAUUUUUUUUUUAGAUCUCUCAUUAUUUCUUUCAUUUUUCAGCCUUUUUUGUUCAGGUGUUCGUGAAUAUUGCCUUCUAAUUCCAUGAUUCGUUAAAUUUUUCUUCUUAUGUGUUCUUUGGAAUGAUUAAUUUUUUUAAUUUCUAUUUGAUUGUAGAUUUACCUCUACAGUCACGGUAGAAUUGAUGGUUGGCGUAGGCGUAUAGAGUGUCUUGCUAGCCUUUGAAGGAGCAGCGAUAGAAAACCGAGUCAACGGUAGCAUAAAUCUAAGGGCUAGGAGUUUUCACAAAAAGAACUCAACUGGCUUAGCCCACGUUUCCGAGGAAGGUGCUUCCAAGAAGAAGACAUUUGUAGCAGAAAUGUUGGUGGUAUAUCUCCAAAAACAGGGGCUGCUAUGGAAGUCUUCUUAGGAUCGAUUUCCAUCGAAGAUUAUGACUCGAUGGAAUCUUCCUUAAUUCAAAUGGUUUGUGGGAGACUUAGCCAUAAAUGUUACCGAUGCUAUACUGCAGGAGGUAUCGCCGAAUGGAUGGGAAAUGAUGAUAUCACUCGGUUUCAUGGCUGCAGCAAGGAUAAUCUGGAUUCUUAAGAAUUGGAAAAGCUUAUAUCUAAUAUGAACAUUUCAGUGGAUUCUGCUUGUAAUUUAAAUAACGCUGUUGUAGAGUCACUCGGUCCAAGAAUUUGGAGUUUCUGAUCCGUGAGAAGAAAUACCGACUUCAUACACGGAGAAUUCCAGCUGCAAACAGUAACGAGUCAGUUGUAGUUCUUGACACUAUUAGAAGAAGCACUCAGUUUUAUUCUUCUUAAUCGAUAGUUGAAGCUACCGCCGCUGCCAUGAAAAAUAUGAACAUGAAAGAUUGUAGAGAUUACAAAUGGAAGUAAGGUCAAAUAUGAACUUGACAAACAGACUUGGAUUAAUUAAGGCAAACAACUUCUUCAAUUGGAACGUGAGAUAGGAUUCGUCAUCAAUCUCAUGAAUGGCCACAGGGGUUGAAAUAUGUGUACAAGUUCAAAUUCAAGUAAAAAAAGCCACAUCAACAUGACAAUGAUAUGAUGUUUAUGUAGUGGUAGGAAAUAUCAGCAUCAAUGGUAAUAUCAAAGGAAAUCUCUUAUUUAUUUCUUCCAUAAAGUAUAGAUUCUUUUUUCUAUUUUUGAUAUUCAUGCCACUUAUUUUUUUUUUAAAAUCUUUUUAACAUCUUUUUCAUUUAUUUUGUUUUUUCAUGUUACUGAUAAGAAAACGGAAAAGGUUAAA